GCAGAUUCUCGCUUUUGUCGAACGUAAUCCUAUUGUAAAUUUUGCGAAACAUUCCAAGAUACAGAUAUUUUAUACGCUAAAUUUUGUGGUGAACACUUUCUACGUUGUGGAUUCAUCAGACCCCAAACUUUCGCGGUAUUCUAUACAGCGAGGGGCGGAAAGAGGUUUAAAAUUGCUAUUUACGUGCUUAAGUAUCAAUAGCUUCUGCAGUAGACACCUUGUAUACUUACUGUAUUAUAUUUACUUAAUGAUCAAGUUAUGUUGUUUCUCGUACUGCUUAUCCUUUGUUAUCUCUUCUCCGCCAUCGUAUAUACAGAGGAACUGUUCAAUUUGUUGCAAUUAUUGCUUGAAUUGAAUAUUCAUAUCGCUAUCUAUAUAGAAAGUCUGACGAUUACUAAAAGAAAAUUACAAGUGUCUGUGUAUCGGAUUUCGAAUAGAAUUAAGUUUCAGUGUGUAAAACCGCAAUAUUCAUAAAUAUACUCGCAAUCUGCUUAGUAUUCAAAAUAAUUUACAUCUUUUUUCCGCAUACGAUGUCACAACGACAGCUUCGUAAGAAACGGAUUGUCUAAUCGAUAAUUAUAAACGUUGCCCAAUUCGCGCAAAUCGUUGACGCAUAAUCCGGCUAUAAUAUAUCCCAUUCUACACUCACAGUGUCUACGAAAUUGCUCGCCUAUGUACGAUUGCGUACAUCCUGCUGCAGGAAAUUCGCGUCACGAGUGCUACGCUAUCCACGCAAUAGUGUGCGUGAAAUGACGACAGGAAUGAUAUCAUUGUACGUCCUCGCGAUUCACCUUGACAAAUAUUAUGUCAACCUCGUUCCGUUGUGUACGAGUAAAUACGCAAUGGGAAUUUCGAGUAAUACGAGUUACUAGGAAGAAAAUUUUAUGCAAUGAAAUGCGAAUAUCAUACGUUCGCCUGUGUGUCGUCAGUCGUGUCGUCGAUGUGCAUAGCAGGUUUUCAAACGUAAUACAUCGUACGAUCCUUUGAAUCAUUUUGAGUCUUAAAAGACUAAUAGAGAGAGACAGAGAGAGAGAGAGAGAGAGAGAGAGAGAGAAAGUUGGUGUAUAUUGAUCUAUAUGAGAUCGUUGCUAAAUACUGAUUUAUAUAAUUUGGAACAUAUGUACUUUGAUCCACGAUAAUAUGAUAAUGAUCGGUUAUCAAGAACAUACAUAUAUUUUCAUCGUAAUGGCUAUCAUUGGAAGAACCUGAAGUUAUGAGUUGUCCUCGAUAUUUAUGAUAAUGCCUCAUUCAUUAGUAUUAUCUACAGAAUUAUUACGAUACUAACGCACGCUGUUGUCACUGUCGUCGAGGUAAUCUUCUGUCGCGAAUAUCGCGCAAAACGUUUUGUUGGAAUUCACUUUGGUAGUAUAAUAUACGUACAAGCAAUGCUCAUUUUUAUUCUGGAAUGUUCGACAAUUCUUUCCACCAUCGCUCUACUAUUCGUUGCCAUUAUCUAAAUUCCAACUCUAAGAUCAGCUUAUAAUUUUCUAUUAACCAUCGACUUAUACCACGCGUUCGAUAAUUUUUCGAUAGCCAUUCGUCACGAUUGUCGAACAUUUUCAAAAUUCUGUCUCUCGAACCAACUCGUACACACGUUCCCGUUAGUCGACAAAUUCCAGCUAUCGAAAUUACCAUCGCUACGUUUAACGUUCUAAAGUCCACGCGAUUAGCCUCAAAGCCACAGUAGAAUCUUCUUCAAAUUUUCCACGAUAAUUCACCCACAUUUCCACUAUUGUCGGACUCAAAACAAACCAAUUCAAACAUACGACGACAAAUGAACACCCACGACGACAGUGGCGUUCGACCUUGAGGCGCUCGAUUCCGCUUAUCGCGGUCGUUUUUCGCGAGGGGUCCUCGCGUUCAGCGAACCUCGUCGCGAUAACCUUAUCGUCGUCCAAUCGGCAGGCUCGCGCUUCCCCUUGGACGCUUAGAUAAACGUUGCACCGUGGUGGCUGCAGAACGAUAGCUCGCUUUCGUUCCCUUCGGGCGGCCGAUGUUGCUCGCGCCAGCUCGCGCGCUCGCCCAGAGCCAUCGUAUUCAGAGAGGAGAGCCGCUGCCGACGGCUACGUAUAUGGGCUUUCAGAUCGGGCCAAGUAGGCGUACGAGGAAUGGAUGCCGUGGCAACGGGCGAAUUAGAGGGACGACACUCUUUUUCCGUGUAUCGCGGGAGGAAGAGGAUGAUAGUUUCAAAGGGGUUCAGAGAAAGAGAAAGAGAGAGGGUCAUUGGCCUCCAAAUCGAAGACUCGCGAACACGUUUUUAGCUUGUCACCGCAGGCCCACGACCGGCUGCUAGGAUUUGCGCGAGAAACACCGUUUAGUGGACUCGUCGAGAGAUUACGCUUCUCUUUAAUUAGUAGCUGCUUCAGCGAACGAGCCACUCAGCUUGGAAUUUUGACAACUUCUUGGUUCUCGGCUCUUGAUUAACUGUGAAUUUAUGCGAGUGUAUCGCUGUCGAGGGAUUUAAAGGGCGAAUUUCGACAUUAUGGCUGUGUCUUGGAGGACGAGGAUGAGGAUUUUCCGAGUAUCGUAUGGAUUUCGUGGUGUGUUCAAUCGUAGGAAAAGAUUUUUAAGAAGUUUCGCCAACGAUCGUUCGCGUUACGACGAUCGAUGUUGGUUCGUGAGAAAGAUAUAAAGGAUUGCAUAUCUAUCCAAGCAAUUGGUAACGUGCUAAUUAUUUUAGCAAAUAGAACGUCCAUCACUAGCUAGCUAUUGACCCGAGAAAUGCAAGAUUUACGUUCCCCGCUCGAUAUCCAUCGCGAUAUCUUCGCAACGAGUCGACCUCGACCGCUCCAUAAAUUAUUGCUAAAUACGAAUAUGUACAUCUACGAUUUUACAAACACCAAGCAACUUCCAAUAAAUCAAUGAUUAAAUUCUUAACCUCAACCUUACAUAACGAGCUCGCCAAAGAGUGCUCGUACUUUAAACCUGUUCCAAACGCCUUACGCUUUUUAAGUUUAAAAUCGCAUUUUAUUUUAAACUUACAAUUAACCAUGGGAAAAGGAUGUGGACCUUUGAACCGUUGAUCUUUGUAUUCAAUUAAUCGCUGACACGCUGCAGCGUGUUACAUUCUCGAGCAAAGUAACUUUUGAAGUUUCGGCCUUCUUCCUCUUGAUCCGCGUAGGCGGCAAGCGCAGAAAGCGAACUCGCGGUGAAGCCACUCGCAGCUUUCUACUCGCAUUUUCUUUGUUUCGAGCGAGCAUUCUACGGGCAACGUGCACCCGCAAAAGGUAGAAGCUUUUUUCGAGCCCGGUCGCAACAGAGAUCCUUUGAAAAACCAAGAUCCGCCUUCAAAUAAAACUACAUUCGAACGAUCUCGUGGCAUUUGACAAACGACUCGUGUUAUCCUCUGUCGUUUUUCUUUUUACGAAUAUUUAAUGAAUCUUCUUAACGAAUCGUGGUUCACCCUUUUACGUCGACACAUGACUGAUUUUCAGGGAAUUGCUGACUAUUCGACGAACAAAGAUUUCCUGGAGUUUCGCCGGAUUUUAUGAGCCGUUGGUUAUUAGGAAAGGUAGAAACGCUGGACAUCGGGGUUCUACGAAAUGUUAUACAAUAAGCAUCCUUUUUGGUAACUGAUGCUUAAUGAAUCAGCAAUGAAUGCCGUCACUGUGAAAGUUUUAGGGUUUCAAAGCCUCCUUGUCCCUGAGAUAUCUUUAUUCGAUAUUUUAAAGUGCCUACGGCUCUCACACGCUACGUAAAAAUACGCAAAAUACAAUAGUAACAAUAUUAAGACGGUAAAAAUAGGAAUAAGAUUCCGCUACCUACGAAUCUUUGAAUGUAAUUAAGAAUAUAUCCAGAGAAGUACAA